rnacentral:lncRNA from 1 species
UGUUUAAUAGCUCAAAUGGUAGAUUUGCAUGUUAUGGAUGAAAUCUAAGUUUUGCAGUAUGUUUAGUUAAUUUAUGAUAAUUAAUAUCUGCUGAACUGGGAUUUGACUUAGGAGAAAACUUAUUAACCUACACGUGACACUUUUCGAAAAAUUAACAGCUUUAGCUUCAGGAGCUGAUUUUUUUUUUGUAUCACCGUUGUUAGUGCGUCGUGGAUACUUAGACUAAUAUAGUUUGAGUUUAUACUUGUGCU